AACAGGUUGUGUGGGUCAGGUUUUAGGAGCUCCUGUUUGGCCUCUUUCUAUCUUUCUGAUUACCUGCGUUGGAGGAAUCUCUAACAGAUAAGACAACAUUAUUUGUGAGCAUUUCUUCCUGGCUACCCCGGGAGGGAAGGCUGACAUUGAUACUGAGCUGCUCACUGAUUUCAUAAUCAGAGAUGACACCACUGCAAAAGUCAAGGUUGAGAUAAAACGAGUCUCCCGAGCAAGAAACCUGAAGAAAGUCUACACAAAGCCGGCAGAUGGAAGAGCAGAGAAAGUCUUAAUAACACGGCUCAGAAGUAGCAGCAUGAAGAAUGAGACGCAGACCAAAAGCAGCCUCUGGAAUAUCUCUGGGUGUGAGCAGCCCCCC